rnacentral:rRNA from 1 species
UACAGAGGUCUCAAGCGUUGUUCGGAAUUACUGGGCGUAAAGGGUUUGUAGGUGGCCGGCUAAGUCAGACGUGAAAUCCCUCAGCUUAACUGGGGAACUGCGUCUGAAACUGAUCGGCUCGAGUGCAGGAGAGGAACGCGGAAUUCCAGGUGUAGCGGUGAGAUGCGUAGAUAUCUGGAGGAACACCGGUGGCGAAGGCGGCGUUCUGGACUGCAACUGACACUGUAAAACGAAAGCCAGGGGAGCAAACGGG